rnacentral:rRNA from 1 species
GUAGGUGGCAAGCGUUGUCCGGAAUUAUUGGGCGUAAAGCGCGCGCAGGCGGUUCUUUAAGUCUGAUGUGAAAGCCCACGGCUCAACCGUGGAGGGUCAUUGGAAACUGGAGAACUUGAGUACAGAAGAGGAAAGCGGAAUUCCACGUGUAGCGGUGAAAUGCGUAGAGAUGUGGAGGAACACCAGUGCGAAGGCGGCUUUCUGGUCUGUAACUGACGCUGAGGCGCGAAAGCGUGGGGGAGCAAACAGGAUUAGAUACCCUGGUAGUCCACGCCGUAAACGAUGAGUGCUAAGUGUUAGGGGGUUUCCGCCCCUUAGUGCUGCAGCUAACGCAUUAAGCACUCCGCCUGGGAGUACGGCCGCAAGGCUG